rnacentral:tRNA from 1 species
GGGGUUGUGGCUCAAGUGGUACAGUACACGCCUAGCAUGUAUGAGGCACUGGGUUAGAUCCCCAGCACCACA